rnacentral:tRNA from 1 species
GGGGAUAUAGCUCCAGUGGUAGAGCACCUCUCUAGCAAGAAUGAGAUCCUGAGUUCAAAUCUUAGUACCACUC